rnacentral:lncRNA from 1 species
CAGACCUUCCAUGCUCCUGAAGAGUUGAUAAUAAUAUUUGUUGAAUGAAGCCAGUGUAGAUCUAGGAGGCUGGAUGUGCUCCAGAUCAUCCUGUCCUUUUCCAGGGAUCGUGAUGGCUGUCUGUUAUUCAGAAAAUAGCUCACAAUCUUUUUUCAAAUAUGAGAAGCUCCUUUUUAUGUCAGAUCAAUGGAACAGAACAGAGCCCUCAGAAAUAACACCGUAUAUCUACAACUAUCUGAUCUUUGACAAACCUGACAAAAACAAGCAAUGGGGAAAGGAUUCCCUAUUUAAUAAAUGGUACCGGGAAAGCUGGCUAGUCAUAUGUAGAAAGCUGAAACUGAAUCCCUCCCUUACACCUUAUACAAAAAUCAAUUCAAGAUGGAUUAAAGACUUAAACGUUAGACCUAAAACCAUAAAAACCCUAGAAGAAAACCUAGGCAUUACCAUUCAGGACAUAGGCAUGGGCAAGGACUUCAUGUCUAAAACACCAAAAGCAAUGGCAACAAAAGCCAAAAUUGACAAAUGGGAUCUAAUUAAACUAAAGAGCUUCUGCACAGCAAAAGAAACUACCAUUAGAGUGAACAGGCAACCCACAAAAUGGGAGAAAAUUUUCGCAACCUACUCAUCUGACAAAGGGCUAAUAUCCAGAAUCUACAAUGAACUCAAACAAAUUUACAAGAAAAAAACAAAUAACCCCAUCAAAAAGUGGGCAAAGGACAUGAAUAGACAUUUCUCAAAAGAAGACAUUUAUGCACCCAAAAAACACAUGAAAAAAUGCUCACCAUCACUGGCCAUCAGAGAAAUGCAAAUCAAAACCACAGUGAGAUAUCAUCUCACACCAGUUAGAAUGGCAAUCAUUAAAAAGUCAGGAAACAACAGGUGCUGGAGAGGAUGUGGAGAAAUAGGAAUACUUUUACACUGUUGGUGGGACUGUAAACUAGUUCAACCAUUGUGGAAGUC